GUUUGAAUAGUUUAAUAUUUAGAAUAAUAAUUUGUGGUAUUAUAGGUAUAUUUAUAUUUCAGACU
rnacentral:tRNA from 1 species